rnacentral:lncRNA from 1 species
AGGAGGCCAGCAACAUCUGCAGAACCUCAAGUUUCUCCAUUACUGCUAUAGGCAUUUUACAACCCUGCAGUGAUUCCUAGAGGUAUUAUAGGUUUGGGGUGCAAGUGAAAGCAGAGAGGCUACCAACAAUGCUGCCAUGUUAUCCAUUGCUCUCAUCUGCUACAUUUCAGGUUGGGCUAAAAGAGGACAGCUUAUAGUAGUCCUCACAAUGUAGUCAACUGUGAAUAUUUCAAACAAGAGGACUACUUAAACUUUUUUUGCAGACCUUUUCUGAGGCCCAAUCACUGAAACUAGUUCAGAUGAGUUUCACUCUUUUAAAAUGUUCAAAAAUAUUUUUGGAAGGGUGGGGUAUAAAUUUGAUUGAUUAAUUAAUUGAAUAAACUUUUUUAAAAAAAUUUUUUUGCAAGACUCAAGUUGGAGCAGGGAAUCCAGUGUCCCUCUCUCUUCCCAACUGCCCUUGCUGUCAGCUACAGGCCCAAAUAAUGUGCACACACACCAGGGAUAUAGUGCAGUGUCUUGUUGCAAUGCCCCAACUGUACAUUGUGUAUUGCUAAAAUGCAAUUUUCCACUUGUAAAAAACCCAAUAAAUUUUCUUUUUGGCAGGGUUGCUCAGCCUCCCCCUUAAUGGUUUCAAUUCAGUGUUGGUACUGAAUGACAUAUCAAAUUUAAUAUUUUACUCCCAAGUGCUUUACACUAAAUCCUCUGUGUUAUUUCACACACAAGCACACAAGCUAGUGAUAUAUUUUUCUGAUUUUUUAAAAAAGCAGCCUCUUGUUCCUAUGUAUGCAUUUGUCAUUAACAUUCUGUCCUUUUGCAUGAAGUCUGUAAAAGAAGUGUGUAUAGGAUUUCAACCUUUGGGUGGUUUUCAACUAAGUACUCCCAUUGAAAUGAAUGAACAUGAUGCACUGGCCUCAAUCCUAUGCUCGCUUAGCUGGGAAAAAACCCUAUUGAACUCACUGGGACUUCCUUCUGAGUAGAUAUAAUUAGGCUUGUGUUUUUGGUCACUUGAGCCACAUGGAAAUGAAGACCUUCCUCUUUAAAGUUUCUGGAGACCUUUCAAAGUCUCCUGGAGGAGGAUGUUAGCAAAACAGCUUUGGGGAAUGUAUCACUGGUGGGCUCAACACAUGCUAUCUGAUAUAUUAAUUCUCCAAGUACAACAGAGGCCUCCCUCUGAGUGUCUCUGCCUUAUAGAGUAGCUAUAGAUGCAUCAGCAGAAAGAGAAGAAAUGUAUCUCCACAAAAGUGGAUGAAAAAAGACAGAAUUGCAUAAAAUGUGCAUACGCUAAAAUAAUAAUAUACAUCGGAAUGCAAUAAAUUUCACAAUCAUGGGCUGCAACCGUAUAACCUAUGUGCUUGCUGCUCAGAGGACUGAUGGUCAGUUUCAAGGUUAUUCAUCUUUAAACUAGACAGUAGAGGACUCUCUGAAGGCAGUAAAGUGUCCUUAUGUCCCAAAUAGAGAACAGUUCUAUAUUUGAAGAGCCAGUAGAAGAUGGUCCUUUAUUUGAAGAGCUAUCAAAGGACUGUUGUCUGUAAAGUAGGACACAUGACCACCCUAACCACCUUCAGGGUGGCUUCCAGAGACAGGGUCUUUUUCCUGGUGGCACCAGCUAUAGAGCUUCCUCCCUGGGCAGUUGUUUCCUUUGGUGCUGUCUUUGAGGCCCCAGACAAAAUCAGUCCUGUUACAUUCUAUCUUUGUAAAUACAUUUAAACAGUAUGGGGUGCCCUUUUCAUGAGCUUUCUGCUGUUCAACUGUCAUUUAAUUGGGAUCUAUAUGUGCUGAUUCCAUCAUUUUUAUUAGAUGCCUUCUAUCCUAUGGUUUUUAUCUUUGUAUUUUUGUUAGGGUUUGUUUAAGCUUCAUUGUAAGUCACAUCGAGGCCAUUUGGCAAUAAAGUGAGACAUGCAUUUGGAUUUGUGGAGGGACAUUUUAAUGCCUACUUUGUGAUGCUUCCCUCUAUGAAUGUAAACAUUUGUAAACAUGUUUAUUUUUUAAUGUUAACAUGUUAACCUUUUAAAAAAACUUUUGAGAGUUACACUUUGCACAAGUGAGUACAAUCAACAAAGUCUAGUUGUCAUUUGAGUCUGUUGCAAUCAAUAGCCCUUAGUAGGAAUGAUGUUUCACUCCCUUGCUUUCAAUAGCAGUUAGUCACAAUUAGCCUGAAGUGAAUCAUGCCCUUGAUCUCUUUCCUACUUUUUAUCCGGAUUUAUGUUACCCUUUCUGCUUUUCUUUUCCAUGUUUUGUUGUUUAGGGAAGUUUUUAAUGUUUGAUGUUUUCACGUGUUUUUAAUAUUCUGUUGGAAGCCGUCCAGAGUGGCUGGGGAGACCCAGCCAGAUGGGCAGGGUAUAAGUAAUAAAUUAUUUCAUUCAUUCAUUCAUUCAUUCAUUCAUUCAUUCAUUCAUUUUAUCAGUCCCAGUUUUUGUAGCCCCACUAUGCCAUAUGCUAGUAAGUGGUCUUUAAGCCUUGUAGAAGAACAGCAAUCUCUUUGUUUACUAUUUCCUAACCUACUAAAUGACUCAGGGGGCAAGGGUGAGACACAUUUUAUUUUGUAUUUGGGUCGUGAACAGAUUCAAGGUGGGAACUUGCUCAGAGUAGCUUGUGGCUGCCUCUGUUCUGCUAGCAACAGUUCAAACAGAGUGCUCACCACCAGUGGGUGACAUGGUGGGGUGACAACACUUACCUGACCUUCUGGCAGAUGAGUGAUGGCCAUUUAUCAAGAGGGCGAUGACAAGGUGGCGGGGAGAUCAGUGCAGUGCAAUCAUAUUGGCAGGAGUGCCAGCUUGACUCCACCACUGUGUUUGCACCAUACCAGCCCGCUUGCUGCCUCUCCCCUCGCACUAUGUAGCAGUGAUUCAGCUGUCGGGAGGUCAGGUAAGCCCUGCCACCCUAUCCUACCAUCUGGUACUGGUGCCCACCUAGUUGAGUAACACACUUUUUGAAUUCUUCACCAUUCAGUUCAAAAUAUUUGUAUCCCUCACACCAUUGUAAACUUUUAUUUUUUAAAAAUGUUGCAGUUCAUACGACCUUCUCAUUAAAGAAAUGUUGUGUAUAUUUCCAGGCCCUGAAUGACAUUAGAAUCAAUAAGGGGUUUCAAAAUUUGAUUAGCAUAGUAAAGUUCCUUUAACUCUCUUAUCUCUCAGUUGGUGGCGGUGGUUUUUCCCAUUCCAAACACUUAACUUGUUUUCAAAUGCUUAAAAUCAUUUUUAACAACUCAGAGUCCAAAAGUUUAUCAUGGGCAUAAAAUUUUGUUUGAAGCGCUUCUGUAUAUGUAUGAAAUGUAUUACAGAUGCAACUGAUGCAACAUCAGACAUUAAAGACAAUCUUUUCAAAGGUAGAAAUCAUUGUGACAUGACUCUUUCUCUUUGACCCGUCCUCGUUUAACUAGAAGCAAAGUUACUUGGAAAUGGAUUUUCCCAUUCUAGCUGUGCUCAUAGUGUCUUGAAUUGUGUGUCUCUCAUGAGGUAAUUGCUCUGCAUGUGCAGUUUGUUAUGAUAAAUCUCUAAGUCAAGAAGACACUUAAUGAUGAGCUCAUAAACAUUGGCCAAAGGGCCUGUGAUGAGCCCAGCUUGGGGCAGCUUGUUCUUUUGUAGUCUUCUGUCAAGGGACAAGGGGAUUUUACCACACAUCAGGUGCAGCUAUGUGCUAAAAUGUACAUCUGUAUCCGUCUCCUGUCUCCACAGUCACUGCGGCCCAUUUUACAUAAUGUAUUUGUGGUGUAGGUAUUUUACCUUGGUAAACAGAUUGUGUGAGAACUUUCCAUGUUGCUAUCAGUGGUCCUGAUGGGAUCGGCACGAGAGUGCGUAUGUGAUGAAGGAAAUCCAUGGAUAUAGUUCCACAUUAUGGAAAAGAUAUGUGUAGAUGUAGUUUAUUAAUGCUUGGGCCAUCGGCUAUUCACAUAUAAGACAAAUAAGUAAAGUACAAAACCCAACAGGAUAAAAUACUGCAAAAAAAUCAAAUUGCUAGGAGUGGCCACAGUUGUUUUUUGUGGCAACGAAGGAUACGUAAACUUUCAUCCCAAGACCAUGCUCGGUCCUGUCAAAAGUUGAAGAUAACGGAAUAAAGAAGGGCAAUCUAAGUUUACCACAUUCUUUAAGGCUUGGAGAUUGCAAAAGUUUAUGAAGGACAGUUGUGGUCCGCAUUGUUCAACAUGGCAGCCAAACCAACCAACUCAAAAGAUCAUGCCGGUGACACAGGUGCUCAGUCAUAUUGCAAUGACUGGAAAAGGAAGCAGCGUGGGAAUGUACAAUAAAGGGGAUGGGGAAUUUGAGGCAAGUGCUCCCGUCUUCCCUAUCUGCCUUUGGGGCUUGCUUGAGGUAGAUUGAUCUAUGCACUUUGAGAACUACAGUGGUACCUCGAGUUACAAACACCUCAGGUUACAAACGCUUCAGGUUACAAUCUCCACUAACCUGGAAGAGUUACCUCAAGUUGAGAACUUUGCCCCAGGAUGAGAAUGGAAAUCAUGUGCUGGCGGCGCAGCAGCAGCAAGAGGCCCCAUUAGCAAAAGCACGUCUCUAGUUAAGAACAGUUUCAGGUUAAGAAUGGACCUCCGGAAUGAAUUAAGUUCGUUACUAGAGGUACCAUUGUAUUCUGUCUGGAGUACAUGGUUAUAUGGUAAGCCAUGCUUUAAUUCUGAUUUUUUUGGGUACAGUAUUAUAGUUAAUUUAUUCAUACACUCUUAGAAUGAGGAGAUGCAUUUAAUACGUUAAUGAGCUGUUAGAAACUUUUGGAUAAAUCCUAUUGCUCCUAUGCUGUAUGAAAAAUGAAGGGUGUGAUUGAAGCUUCAGAGUUUAUCAUUAUCACUGCACAAUGGAAUUUGGGAACACAAAAUUCAUCUAAUUCUUACAAAUGGCAAAUCAUUGUCUGUAUGUCUUCUCUGCUGUUGCUGUUGCUGCUGCUACUAAAUAAUAGUAGUAGUAGUAGUAGUAAUAAUAAUAAUAAUAAUAAUAAUAAUAAUAAUAAUAAGCCUGUACUAUGUGCUUUAGUAUGUGAAGCAUGCUGAACAUUCGUUAGAUUGGCAUAAUCCUUACAGCAGCCCAAUGUGUCAGUAUAAUUUUCACUAUAUUAUAAAUGAGAAGCAGAAUAGCUUAAGGCCCCCUUGUGGGUUCACAGCAGAGUUGAAAUAUGAAUGGGGGGUUCCCCAAAUCAUAGCUGAGUCUCUUAACUAAGGAACCAUGUACCACUGAAAAAUAACAGAAAGAUUUCUAUGAAUAAGAUAAUAAAAGGGAGCCUGUGGGUUGGAUCUGAAGGUUUUCUUCCUCUAUUAGAAGAGGUUUUCUUCAAUGGAAAGAGUCUUCCAUUGAGAGAAGGAGUCAUCAUGCUAAGAGAAUGAGACCUUUUAUCAGAGGGAAGACUCCUUCCACUUGAGGAAUGGAAGGAUGUAUGCUAUGAAGAGGCGUAGGAAUGGUUGUAUGGAAUCUCCUCUGUUUCUGCAGAGUUAGUAGUUAUUUUAAUUUCAGAAUGAAUAACUGCCAAAUAAAUCAGCCAUCCUCAGGACUUGGCACAGGUUUUUUUUUCUUGCUCACUGAUGUUCAGUUUAGCUGAUCAAUACCAUCCUUUUUGUUAGCAAGACAUGUCAGCUGCAUUCGAAUGUUAGCUCUAUUAGAGUAGGUAUGGGAAUUUUUUAGGUCCCCAGAUCUUGCUGAACCAGAACUCCCAUUUUCCCUGGCCAUUGUCUGUGUUUGUGGAGGGACAAAGUUUCCUCACACCUGGGUUAGAGUGUCACGAUACGAAAUUCUGUGAAAUGAGCAGGUAUCUAUCUAUCAAUCAAUCAAUCAAUCAAUCAAUCCAUCAAUCCAAUCAAUCAAUUAAAUACCUUUAUUGGCAUCACAGUUUCAAGUAACUGGAAUAUUAAAAAGACAAGCGUGAAGCUAUCAAGGGUUAUAUGGUCACAAAUGAGCAGGUAUUUAUUUGUACAGUUUGUAUAGGAUCGCAUGCCUGGGGGUUUUCCUCAGCACUGUGUUGCUGUUUUAAUGAUGUAAUGAUGAAAUUGUCUGAUUGAAUAUUCCCAGUUCUUGAAAUCAGCUGAAGUCACUGAUUCCUCAUUAUCAUUGCCAAUGGCAAGAUUUCACUAGUUUAUUGGUCCUUUUAUUUUUAUGGGCAUUUUUGCAGGUAAAGUUGGCUGUGCCUGAUAUCAAGCAUGUAUCCAACCUGUUUCCUGACUGAAUAACCAACCAAGAGGCAUCUUGUCACAGGAGUAGCAGACACUAGGCUCAGUUAUUCGCUAGCUCUGAAUUG